rnacentral:rRNA from 1 species
UACGUAGGGUGCAAGCGUUGUCCGGAAUUAUUGGGCGUAAAGAGCUCGUAGGCGGUCUGUCACGUCGGCUGUGAAAACCCGAGGCUCAACCUCGGGCCUGCAGUCGAUACGGGCAAACUAGAGUACUGCAGGGGAGACUGGAAUUCCUGGUGUAGCGGUGAAAUGCGCAGAUAUCAGGAGGAACACCGGUGGCGAAGGCGGGUCUCUGGUCUGGAACUGACGCUGAGGUGCGAAAGCGUGGGGAGCAAACAGG